rnacentral:lncRNA from 1 species
UUCAGGUAGGAACAGAACUUCCUGGCUGGGCGUGCUUGAGAGAUUUGACCAUUCAGUUCCUCGGAGCAGGUGUUCCAGCCUCUGGUGGCCAGUGCUGGGAUCACAGAGCUCUCAACUUAGGUGGCCCUGUGUUUCAGAAUGGAUUCACUGACUCCCGGAAGUGAUUCUAGACAUGACUGCUUGUGGCUACUGAGGUUGCCCUCGGAGGCCAAAGGCGUCAGACAGGACGCCUGGAAGUUGAAUGUACAGAUGGUUGCCAGCUGCCCAACAUGGAUUCUGGGAACCAAACCUUUAGAAUUCAACAAACAAACAAACAAACAAACAACCCAGGGGGCUGGAGAGAUGGCUCAGCACUCAAGAGCACUGACUGCUGCUCUUCCAGAGGUCCUGAGUUCAAUUCCCAGCAACCACAUGGUGGCUCACAACUAUCUGUAAUGGGUUCCAGUGCCCUCUUCUGGUGUGUCUGAAGACAGCAACAUAAAAUAAAUAAAUCUUUUUAAAAACCCAA